rnacentral:rRNA from 1 species
AGUGAACGCUGGCGGUAGGCCUAACACAUGCAAGUCGAACGGCAGCACAGAAAGAGUUUGCUCUUACGGGUGGCGAGUGGCGGACGGGUGAGGAAUACAUCGGAAUCUACUUUUUCGUGGGGGAAAACGUGGGGAAACUUACGCUAAUACCGCAUACACCCUACGGGUGAAUGAUGGGGAUUUUCGGACCUUGCGCGAUUGAAUGAGCCGAUGUCGGAUUAGCUAGUUGGCGGGGUAAAGGCCCACCAAGGCGACGACCCGUAGCUGGUCUGAGAGGAUGAUCAGCCACACUGGAACUGAGACACGGUCCAGACUCCUACGGGAGGCAGCAGUGGGGAAUAUUGGACAAUGGGCGCAAGCCUGAUCCAGCCAUACCGCGUGGGUGAAGAAGGCCUUCGGGUUGUAAAGCCCUUUUGUUGGGAAAGAAAAGCAGCAGGUUAAUACCCCGCUGUUCUGACGGUACCCAAAGAAUAAGCACCGGCUAACUUCGUG